rnacentral:rRNA from 1 species
UACAGGAAGGGUGAACGUUAUUCUUAAUGACUGGGCGUAAAGGGUAUGUAGGCGAUAUUGAUAAAUAAAAUAAAAAAUUAAAGCUUAACUUUAAAAACAAUUUUAUUUAAAAUUAUAUUAGAGUGAGAUAGAAGAUAAUAGAAAUUUCUAGUGUAGUGAUAAAAUAACGGAAAUACUAGAAAGGAAAUAUCAAAGGCGAAGGCAAUUAUCUAGUUCUUUACUGACGCUGAGGUACGAAAGUAUGGGGAGCAAACAGGG